rnacentral:lncRNA from 1 species
UGGAAGUUGCAAGAACAAAGGAGUAAAAGCAGUCCUUCGAUUUAUUCGCAUCCCUGCCUGGUGCAAUCGGGGCAUGGAGGGCUUCUAUCGGUGGCACAAACACAGUGCGCACAAGGCGCUCGACUAUUUGCCGCAGCCAGCCAGCCACGCCUUUACGGUGCAAAAUUAGUCACCACACCAGAAGUUCACGCGAGGAGCGUGCAUACACAUCAGAUGAUCAGAUCCUGGAUUAAGAUCAAACCUGUAGCGAAGCUAGCUCCUCAGAAAAGGAUCGCCGAUUUGCCUGAUCGCCUCCUCUCCCCUCCCCUCGGCACGGAUGUGUGAAAACAAGAAGGCGAAUCAACCACCAUCCACAGGUAGUUAUGCCAUUACGCAAAAAUGUGGAGAAGGGGUGUAUAACCAACCUGCGACCCCUCGAUCUUUGCAGGUCCUUUGCCCUCUUCUUGUAGCGGUUGAUAUCAGGCGAUGCGGCGGAUGGGAGAACGCGUCCGCGCAAGCGCACGGGCGAACGCGUCUCCGGGAAUUCGUCGUUGGCUGGCCAUCUCGAUGUUUUCGAUUGACGAAUUUUUUGACCAACAACAAACGUGGGCGUACAGGGAAGGAGAAGGAAUGCACCAGGGGACAGGCGCUGAUGUGAUGGAAGACGGGCGAAAUUUGGGUGGCGCCGGCGGGCGGCAGUUGGAACUUGACCGAUACAGACGUUCCUUGGCGGAGGACUCAGUCCGGCGUCCGUUUAGAGAUCCGCAUCCUACUCCCUCCAGAAGAAAUGGCAAAAAACGAGUAAGGCGUUAUUUUAAGAAAAAAUAUAAAUCAUACUUUUGCAGUUUAAAAAAAUAUACGCCAUUCAUCCGAAAUUACUUGUCACAGAAAUAGAUAGAAAUGAAUAUAUCUACAACUAAAAUACAUCUAGAUACAUUUUUUUUCUCAGAUAAGUAUUUUCGAACGAAGGAAGUAGAAAACAAUGCAUUUUAAACUUAUAAAUAUGAAUUUUUCUUCACACUAUUUUAAACUUAUAAAUAUGAAUUUUGAGUUGCUAAAACGGCAGAUUUCAUGGAGCCUGAGCUCUAAAGUGAACUUAAUUUUAAAAGAAAAUAUGUGGUCGGUAUGCAAGAAGACGCUAGAAGUGUUUUUUUACACAAACGAUAGGAGUACUAACUUGUUGAUGAAGGAUGAACCCUUUUUGUUUAUAUAUCCUAGAAAGCCCUUUAUCAUUUCACAUGCACCUCCUUUGUACAACCCCACACAUAUGAGCUCCUAAAAUCCUAAAUCGGUGAUCUUUCUUUCCUCUUUAACCUCGGCAACCAUGGGCAUGUGAGGUGGAUGUGGUGAUGGCACGGAGUAUAGGCGAUGUGGAUUUAUUUUCCCAUCUGCGGUGAAGUGGAUAGGCAAAAAGGAGGAAGGUGUGGUGGUAGCAAGUUGUCGUGCCAAGACAGGAUGGUGUGGCAGUAGUGGCUGCCAUGCAAGGUGAGGAGGUGGUGAUGUUGGGAAACGUUGCAUGGGAAACAAAAAAUUUCCUACGCUCACUAAGAUUAAUCUAGAGGAUGCACAUCUACGAGAGGAAAGAUUGUAUCUACAUACCCUUAUAAAUCGUUAAGCGGAAGCGUUAAAGAACACGAUUGAUGUAGUGGUACGUCUUCGCGAUCCAAUCAUGAUCCAUCCCACGAACUCCUGAUCGAGUGCCAAAUGGACUACACCUCCGCGUUCAACACACGUACAGCUUGACGACGUCUCCGCCUCCUCGAUCUAGCAAGCGAGGCCGGCGUGGUAGAUGAGUUCCUCGGCAGCGCGACGGCGUGACGGUGGUGGUGGUUUAGCUGUCCCAACAGGGUUUAGCCAAACAAUACCGAGAAAACGAAAGGAGGAGACGAUCUAGAGGGAGGGGGAGGGGCU